rnacentral:rRNA from 1 species
AGUGAACGCUGGCGGUAGGCCUAACACAUGCAAGUCGAACGGCAGCACAGGAGAGCUUGCUCUCUGGGUGGCGAGUGGCGGACGGGUGAGGAAUACAUCGGAAUCUACUCUGUCGUGGGGGAUAACGUAGGGAAACUUACGCUAAUACCGCAUACGACCUACGGGUGAAAGCAGGGGAUCUUCGGACCUUGCGCGAUUGAAUGAGCCGAUGUCGGAUUAGCUAGUUGGCGGGGUAAAGGCCCACCAAGGCGACGAUCCGUAGCUGGUCUGAGCGGAUGGUCAGCGACACUGGAACUGAGACACGGUCCAGACUCCUACGGGAGGCAGCAGUGGGGAAUAUCGGACAAUGGGCGCAAGCCUGAUCCAGCCAUACCGCGUGGGUGAAGAAGGCCUUCGGGUUGUAAAGCCCUUUUGUUGGGAAAGAAAUCCAGCUGGCUAAUACCCGGUUGGGAUGACGGUACCCAAAGAAUAAGCACCGGCUAACUUCGUGCCAGCCGCCGCCGUAA